GGGAAACGCCCGGUCCCGUUCCGAACCCGGAAGCUAAGCCCACCAGCGCCGAUGGUACUGCACCCGGGAGGGUGUGGGAGAGUAGGUCACCGCCGACC
rnacentral:rRNA from 1 species